UACACAUUAAAAACCGGCUUCCACCCUGCUUCCUUACGCACCCAUGCAUAGAGCUGACAGGGAGAUUGUUUAUUGAAUGAGAAGUUUCACUUACCUUCCAUACACAUGCAUGCAUUUACAUAGCAGUUGGUCAUCUAUGGAUCUCAAAGCAGCUUGCAAGAAGAUGGAGGGGCUCAAAAGCAGUUUCACAGGUGAUAUCAGGAAUAAAUUAAUGGGAGCACAUCAUUUUUGGCUGAUGACACAUUCAUGCAGGGCUCUUCUGUUCUGUUCCAAGCUCUGGAGCUAACCCUUCACGUUCCUGAAUAUGAACAGGCUGAACCGAAGAGGCACAAAAAACACACCACUAAAGCGAACCGCCGACUAGCUCUGUGGAGAGGGCAGAUGUGAAGGCAACGCUCCUCGAGGUACUGCUUGGCACUGUCCAUAACAAACCUUGAACCUGCUUGGACUGCACCCGGAUCACUGAGGAACAUCGCCAUAGACCAGGACCCUACUGCGCUACGUGCUGAAUGAACGCUGACGAUGUUGCCUGCCCCCAGGAGCUCACAGUCUAAGACAAGAGACAACUGAUGGAUGAAAACCGCCCCAUGGAGGAGUACCAGGAAACAAUGUGACGCUCUUGGUCAGCUUGACAGGUGGCAGUCACGGUACACCAGCUGCCCGUUUUUUGUA